UGAAACCUAGUUGGGGCUCUGUUGUGUCU
rnacentral:piRNA from 1 species